UACGUAGGGCGCAAGCGUUAUCCGGAAUUAUUGGGCGUAAAGAGCUCGUAGGCGGUUUGUCGCGUCUGCCGUGAAAGUCCGGGGCUCAACUCCGGAUCUGCGGUGGGUACGGGCAGACUAGAGUGAUGUAGGGGAGACUGGAAUUCCUGGUGUAGUGGUGAAAUGCGUAGAGAUCGGGAGGAACACCAGCGGCGAAGGCGGCCCCUGGGCCGCUCCUGACGCUGAGACGCGAAGGCCAGGGUAGCGAACGGG
rnacentral:rRNA from 1 species